AUGAUUUUUUGGCACUGAUUGCCAUGGCAACAGCAGUUAGUCACCUGUGUUUUUGAUGGUAUGGUUGCCAAAGGGGGUGACAUUUUAGAGCUGUAAUCCCAGUGCAGUAAAUCAUCUCCUGAUCAAAGCAGGACAAAUCUUUGUUGGCUGACAAUUGACCACCAAAAAGUCCAUAACAGGCUUUUUUCUACCAGCACUGUCAGUGAUUCUGCAUGGUGUUAACUCCUGCCCUCAAAAGCAGAGUGUACACCACAACCACUCUGACUCAGCAGUGAUGCAUAUGUACUCUGUGUGUGUUUCUUAUAGCGGCCACAAGAGGAGAAGUAUCCUGUGGGCCCCUGGUUACUCGCCCUGUUUGUAUUUGUUGUGUGUGGAUCAGCCAUUUUUCAGAUUAUUCAAAGCAUCCGUAUGGGGAUGUGAUUGAGAGGAAGCAUCCAGACAUCCCCUCCAGCCCUCACUGAGCCUGGUUUUUCCACACCCGCACACCCCUGAACCCCUCCAGAGACGGACACAGUGCUUCAGAGCCAGCAGACCUCAGAGAGAGAGAGAGAGAAGCCUCCGUGUUCAUCACCUCCUGCUCCUCCAGACGUGUCCCUCCCUCGAUCAGUGUUUAACAGUGUUGCAGUCUGUGGUACCGACAGCUUUUCUAUGAACAGUCUAAAAAAACCACGCUGGCUGGAGUACUUGUGCAUCUCAUUGCUUACUUUGGCACCUGUGUGUGUGAAGGAGUGUCUGUGUGAAAAGGUUCUUUUUUCGAAUAAAUGUUGAGCACACUUCA